rnacentral:lncRNA from 1 species
GUGUGUCUGGUCGUACAUGGGACGCAGGGGGCGACCAUGAGACAUCACCAAGCCCUAGUUCAUCACUUAAUUCACAAAAUUGAAGGUCCAAAUCUGACCAAAAACAAAAAUUGAGCAUAGAUUACUGAUCCUCAUCACAAGAGGAUUACAAGGAAAAGAUACCGGAGCGUCGAGUGGACAAGCCGGUGGCGAUUCGCGUUGAAGGGCGUGCACUAAAGGAAAUGCAGGUAAUGAUGGGGUAUUUCCGGAUGGCGAUCAAGCAUGUUCAGAAGAACCGAACACACUUUUUAAAGCUUCCGCAAUAUCUUAACUUUUAAUAAAUUAUGU